AGCGCGUUAGCUCAGCGGUAGAGCACUCGACCGAUAAUCGAGUGGUCGUAGGUUCAAAUCCUACACGCGCUA
rnacentral:tRNA from 1 species